UACGUAGGGUGCGAGCGUUGCCCGGAUUUAUUGGGCGUAAAGGGCGCGUAGGCGGCUCGGCACGUCCGUUGUGAAAUCGCCCGGCUCAACUGGGCGGGGUCAGCGGAUACGGUCGAGCUUGAGCAAGCUAGGGGGCAAUGGAAUUCCCGGUGUAGUGGUGGAAUGCGUAGAUAUCGGGAGGAACACCAGUGGCGAAGGCGACUUUCUGGUCUGUAACUGACACUGAGGCGCGAAAGCGUGGGGAGCAAACAGGG
rnacentral:rRNA from 1 species